GUGGAAAUCCACCCUAACAGCAACACCCUAAAAUUUAGUCUGUGUCGGCGAAAAAUUGGCGAAUCAUAUAUAACGAUGGCAAAGACCACACUAAUUAUUUUCGUUUUGGUGAUUUGUAUCUGUGUAAUCCAGGCAAAGGUGGCAAAAGAUUCACGUUACGUCAUAGGCGAUGUGAAAAAGCUGGAUACAUCCAGCGACCACGACAAAGGAGCAUCAUUUGGAGACAUGAAAGACGGCAAACUAACGAAGCUACUUCGUAAAAUUCUAUGCAAACGUCAGGGUGGUAGAAGACCGGAUUGUGCAGGGAAAUGAUGACCAGCUGGAUCCGAUGAAGAUGAACUGAGCAAUUUAGUAUAUAACCGCUAUACAAGACACA